GACGAACGCUGGCGGCGUGCUUAACACAUGCAAGUCGAACGGAAAGGCCCUGCUUUUGUGGGGUGCUCGAGUGGCGAACGGGUGAGUAACACGUGAGUAACCUGCCCUUGACUUUGGGAUAACUUCAGGAAACUGGGGCUAAUACCGGAUAGGAGCUCCUGCUGCAUGGUGGGGGUUGGAAAGUUUCGGCGGUUGGGGAUGGACUCGCGGCUUAUCAGCUUGUUGGUGGGGUAGUGGCUUACCAAGGCUUUGACGGGUAGCCGGCCUGAGAGGGUGACCGGCCACAUUGGGACUGAGAUACGGCCCAGACUCCUACGGGAGGCAGCAGUGGUGAAUAUUGCACAAUGGGCGGAAGCCUGAUGCAGCAACGCCGCGUGCGGGAUGACGGCCUUCGGGUUGUAAACCGCUUUCGCCUGUGACGAAGCGUGAGUGACGGUAAUGGGUAAAGAAGCACCGGCUAACUACGUGC
rnacentral:rRNA from 1 species